UACAGAGGGUGCAAACGUUGCUCGGAAUUACUGGGCGUAAAGCGCGUGCAGGCGGUUUUGCGAGUCCGAUGUGAAAGCCCGGGGCCCAACCCCGGAAGUGCAUUGGAUACUACAAAGCUUGAGUGCUGGAGAGGAGAGCGGAAUUCCCGGAGUAGAGGUGAAAUUCGUAGAUAUCGGGAGGAACACCAGUGGCGAAGGCGGCUCUCUGGACAGACACUGACGCUGAGACGCGAAAGCGCGGGGAUCAAACAGG
rnacentral:rRNA from 1 species